rnacentral:rRNA from 1 species
UACGGAGGGAGCUAGCGUUGUUCGGAUUUACUGGGCGUAAAGCGCACGUAGGCGGUUAUUCAAGUCAGAGGUGAAAGCCCGGGGCUCAACUCCGGAAUUGCCUUUGAAACUAGAUAACUUGAAUCCAGGAGAGGUGAGUGGAAUUCCGAGUGUAGAGGUGAAAUUCGUAGAUAUUCGGAAGAACACCAGUGGCGAAGGCGGCUCACUGGACUGGUAUUGACGCUGAGGUGCGAAAGCGUGGGGAGCAAACAGG